rnacentral:snoRNA from 1 species
AAGACUAUACCUUCAGGGGUCAUUUCCAGAGUUAUUACUACAGAGCGUUCUCUGAACAUGUAGAGUACUGGAAGCCAGCACUGGCAGCCAAGAGCGUGAAGCCGGCUCUCUGUGGUGUUUUGCUGUAACUGCCAAUGGCCAUUGAUGAUCCUUCUUCUCUUCCUUUCAGGAGAGCAAGAGGGAGAGGACACAGUCUGAUGGU